ACCAGUGUGGUGUAGUGGUUUGAACAUUGGACUAUGACUUUGAAGAUCAUGGUUUGAAUCCCUGCUCGGCCA